rnacentral:rRNA from 1 species
GAUUGAACGCUGGCGGUAUGCUUAACACAUGCAAGUCGAACGGAAACGACACUAGCUUGCUAGUAGGCGUCGAGUGGCGGACGGGUGAGUAACGCGUAGGAAUCUGCCUGAUAGUGGGGGAUAGCCCGAAGAAAUUCGGAUUAAUACCGCAUAAUCUAUUCGUAGUAAAGUGGGGGACUUUCGAGCCUCACGCUAUCAGAUGAGCCUGCGUAAGAUUAGCUAGUUGGUAGGGUAAAAGCCUACCAAGGCUACGAUCUUUAGCUGGUCUGAGAGGAUGAUCAGCCACAUCGGGACUGAGACACGGCCCGAACUCCUACGGGAGGCAGCAGUGGGGAAUAUUGGACAAUGGGGGCAACCCUGAUCCAGCAAUACCGCGUGUGUGAAGAAGGCCUGAGGGUUGUAAAGCACUUUCAAUUGUGAAGAAAAGUUAACGGUUAAUAACCGUUAGCCUUGACGUUAACUUUAGAAGAAGCACCGGCUAACUCCGUGCCAGCAGCCGCGGUAAUACGGAGGGUGCAAGCGUUAAUCGGAAUUACUGGGCGUAAAGCGUGCGUAGGCGGUUUAUUAAGUCAGAUGUGAAAGCCCCGGGGCUUAACCUGGGAACUGCAUUUGAAACUGGUCAACUAGAGUAUGGUAGAGGAAAGUGGAAUUUCUGGUGUAGCGGUGAAAUGCGUAGAUAUCAGAAGGAACAUCAAUGGCGAAGGCAGCUUUCUGGACCAAUACUGACGCUGAGGUACGAAAGCGUGGGUAGCAAACAGGAUUAGAUACCCUGGUAGUCCACGCCGUAAACGAUGAUAACUAGCCGUUGGGGGGAUUUACCCUUUAGUGGCGAAGCUAACGCGUUAAGUUAUCCGCCUGGGGAGUACGGCCGCAAGGUUAAAACUCAAAGGAAUUGACGGGGACCCGCACAAGCGGUGGAGCAUGUGGUUUAAUUCGAUGCAACGCGAAGAACCUUACCUGGUCUUGACAUCCUGCGAACUUUCUAGAAAUAGAUUGGUGCCUUCGGGAACGCAGUGACAGGUGCUGCAUGGCUGUCGUCAGCUCGUGUCGUGAGAUGUUGGGUUAAGUCCCGUAACGAGCGCAACCCCUAUCCUUAUUUGCCAGCACGUCAUGGUGGGAACUAUAAGGAGACUGCCGGUGAUAAACCGGAGGAAGGCGGGGACGACGUCAAGUCAUCAUGGCCCUUACGACCAGGGCUACACACGUGCUACAAUGGGAAGGACAAAGAGCCGCGAAGCCGCGAGGUGUAGCUAAUCUCAGAAACCUUUUCGUAGUCCGGAUUGGAGUCUGCAACUCGACUCCAUGAAGUCGGAAUCGCUAGUAAUCGUAGAUCAGAAUGCUACGGUGAAUACGUUCCCGGGUCUUGUACACACC